GAUGAACGCUGGCGGCGUGCCUAACACAUGCAAGUCGAACGGAAAGACCCUGCUUUUGUGGGGUGCUCGAUUGGGGAAGGCGGGAGUAACACGUGUGUAACAUGCACUUGUAUUUCGGAUAACAUCACGAAAAUGGGGCUAAUAUCGGAGAGGAUAUCCUGCACCGUGGUGGGCGUUGGAAAGUUUCGGCGUUUGGGGAUGUAAUGGCGGGUUAUGGGCUUGUUGGUGGGGUAGUGGCUUACCAAGGCUUUGAAGGGUAGCCGGCCUGGGAGCGUGAACGGCGUCAAUGGGACUGAGGGACGGCGCAGAGUGGUACGGUAGGCAGAAGGGGGGAGUAUUGCACAAUGGGCGGAAGCGUGAUGAAGAAGCGUCGCGUGCGGGAUGACGGCUUUCGGGGUGAAAACAGCUUUCGCCUGUGACGAAGCGUGAGUGACGGUAAUGAGUAAAGAAGCACCGGCUAACUACGUG
rnacentral:rRNA from 1 species